AACGAACGCUGGCGGCAUGCCUAACACAUGCAAGUCGAACGCUCACUUGGGUUUCGGCCCUGGUGGGAGUGGCGCACGGGUGAGUAGCGCGUGGGAACCUGCCCUGUUGUGGGGGAUAACCGAGGGAAACUUCGGCUAAUACCGCAUGCGCCCGAGGAGUGAUCUUCGGGGAAAGAUUGAUCGCAGCAGGAGGGGCCCGCGUCGGAUUAGCUGGUUGGUGGGGUAACGGCCUACCAAGGCACCGAUCCGUAGCUGGUCUGAGAGGAUGAU
rnacentral:rRNA from 1 species